ACGCUCGACACCUACGGGAGGCAGCAGUGGGAAUAUUGCACAAUGGGGGAAACCCUGAUGCAGCGACGCCGCGUGGAGGAAGAAGGUCUUCGGAUUGUAAACUCCUGUUGUUGGGGAAAAAGAGGAUGGUACCCAACAAGGAAGUGACGGCUAACUACGUGCCAACAGCCGCGGUAAUCUGAGCGGGCUGGCAAGGC
rnacentral:rRNA from 1 species